rnacentral:rRNA from 1 species
GACGAACGCUGUCGGCGUGCUUAACACAUGCAAGUCGAACGGAAAGGCCCUGCUUUUGUGGGGUGCUCGAGUGGCGAACGGGUGAGUAACACGUGAGUAACCUGCCCUUGACUUUGGGAUAACUUCAGGAAACUGGGGCUAAUACCGGAUAGGAGCUCCUGCUGCAUGGUGGGGGUUGGAAAGUUUCGGCGGUUGGGGAUGGACUCGCGGCUUAUCAGCUUGUUGGUGGGGUAGUGGCUUACCAAGGCUUUGACGGGUAGCCGGCCUGAGAGGGUGACCGGCCACAUUGGGACUGAGAUACGGCCCAGACUCCUACGGGAGGCAGCAGUGGGGAAUAUUGCACAAUGGGCGGAAGCCUGAUGCAGCAACGCCGCGUGCGGGAUGACGGCCUUCGGGUUGUAAACCGCUUUCGCCUGUGACGAAGCGUGAGUGACGGUAAUGGGUAAAGAAGCACCGGCUAACUACGUGCCAGCAGCCGCGGUGAUACGUAGGGUGCGAGCGUUGUCCGGAUUUAUUGGGCGUAAAGGGCUCGUAGGUGGUUGAUCGCGUCGGAAGUGUAAUCUUGGGGCUUAACCCUGAGCGUGCUUUCGAUACGGGUUGACUUGAGGAAGGUAGGGGAGAAUGGAAUUCCUGGUGGAGCGGUGGAAUGCGCAGAUAUCAGGAGGAACACCAGUGGCGAAGGCGGUUCUCUGGGCCUUUCCUGACGCUGAGGAGCGAAAGCGUGGGGAGCGAACAGGCUUAGAUACCCUGUAGUCCACGCUGUAAACGGUGGGUACUAGGUGUGGGGUCCAUUCCACGGGUUCCGUGCCGUAGCUAACGCUUUAAGUACCCCGCCUGGGGAGUACGGCCGCAAGGCUAAAACUCAAAGGAAUUGACGGGGCCCCGCACAAGCGGCGGAGCAUGCGGAUUAAUUCGAUGCAACGCGUAGAACCUUACCUGGGUUUGACAUGGAUCGGGAGUGCUCAGAGAUGGGUGUGCCUCUUUUGGGGUCGGUUCACAGGUGGUGCAUGGCUGUCGUCAGCUCGUGUCGUGAGAUGUUGGGUUAAGUCCCGCAACGAGCGCAACCCUUGUUCACUGUUGCCAGCACGUUAUGGUGGGGACUCAGUGGAGACCGCCGGGGUCAACUCGGAGGAAGGUGGGGAUGACGUCAAGUCAUCAUGCCCCUUAUGUCCAGGGCUUCACGCAUGCUACAAUGGCUGGUACAGAGAGUGGCGAGCCUGUGAGGGUGAGCGAAUCUCGGAAAGCCGGUCUCAGUUCGGAUUGGGGUCUGCAACUCGACCUCAUGAAGUCGGAGUCGCUAGUAAUCGCAGAUCAGCAACGCUGCGGUGAAUACGUUCCCGGG